rnacentral:lncRNA from 1 species
CAUACAACGCUACAACAUGCCUUCAGACACCUAAGUUCCACAACAACGCCCUCAAAAGGGGACGGUGUAAAGCGUCGUCAUUGUCGAGUCCGAGGUACACAAGGAUUUUCAUCCGGGACCCUGGCAUGGAGAGAAGAACGCCGACAAGGAUUUUCAUCAUUGUUUCCAGACUUCUUCUUUCCAGAUUCUUCAAACUGAUCAAAGAAUCCCACUUCGUUGCUGGUUUCGAGUUUUGCCGACAACAUCUUGAUAUGCUUGGACAAAACGUCAAGGUCGUCGAGGCAGUCGGCGAUGCACCUUGGGUUUAACACCCAUUGCUCGGUCAGCAAUGGCGGACCUUUGCCUUCGAAGCUCCAGAUUAUAAAAUUGGACGUCCACAAGCAAGCAUGCAUACAUGCAUGUGCUGUUGCUAGUACAAAUGCCCGUGCGUUGCACCGGGCAAGAAAAAAAUAUAGGUAGUAAACAACAUGAUAAUCUCAACCAAUACAUAAGAUCAUAAUCAAGCACAUAAUAUUGUUAAAGAGUACAUAAUAUUCAGUAUUUGUGAGACUGUUGGAUGCACUCUUGCAAGCAGAGUAAAUUCUCCUCUGUAGUAGGAGUAUCUUGUUAAUUUUUGUGAAGUAUAGCAUCUACUGCCUGAACCUACAACUGAGAAGGAAUUGCAACAGUGGGAUCCAGUAUUGCAAGGCUUUGUUUCGAGGGAUUCCUAUAAUUCAUCCACAGAUCAGUACUAUUAACUAAAUGCUCUGAGAAGGAAUCCUACAAACAGAGUUCAUUGGAUGUGCGUAAGAUUUUGUUUCAAUGUAUGUAUAUAGGAAAACUGAAGCUUCCUAUGAUCCACAAAGUUAGACAAAAGCUUUUACAUAGGUCAAUAAAUAUGUACCUAUGUGAAAAAAUAAAUAUGUACCUGAUUCUGCUC